CCAAAAGAGCUCAGGUUCGAUGCGUACGACCUGAAGGGAAUCUUGUCCUGAAUCUGUGACCAAGCAAGAGCUGCCCCCGCAACUGUAUGGAACGAGACCGAAUCAAAACCACUGGCACCGCCGGGAAGGAGAUUCGGUCGUUUGAGUUCUGAGCCAGGAGACCUGCUGAACACCCCUGACAUCA
rnacentral:ncRNA from 2 species